GGGGACACAUACCAACUUUGUGUAAAGCUUCAAGAAAACGGUUUGCCAAUAUUUGACAAACAAACGAAAUUAGGAAUGGAAGGUUUGCACAAAUUAUUCUUCCCUGGUGAAGACUUUAAAGAUCGUCACAGUGCUUUGGGAGAUGCAGG